rnacentral:rRNA from 1 species
UACGUAGGGUGCGAGCGUUGUCCGGAAUUAUUGGGCGUAAAGGGCUCGUAGGCGGUUUGUCGCGUCGGGAGUGAAAACUCAGGGCUUAACCCUGAGCCUGCUUCCGAUACGGGCAGACUAGAGGUAUGCAGGGGAGAAUGGAAUUCCUGGUGGAGCGGUGGAAUGCGCAGAUAUCAGGAGGAACACCGGUGGCGAAGGCGGUUCUCUGGGCAUUUCCUGACGCUGAGAAGCGAAAGCGUGGGGAGCAAACAGG